rnacentral:lncRNA from 1 species
UCCUGCUGAAGAAUAGUCUGUACUACUUCACUCCUCAUCUUCAAGUCCCUUGCUCUCUUCUUCAUCAUUACCAAUGGAACUCUAAGCUUACCAUCUCUCCUCCCAAUAGCGAGAAACUCUCUCUCCAUCUUCUCCUUCUUCUUCUUCUUAAUCUCUUUUUCAUCUUCUUUGUUUUCUUUGUCUUCCUUUCUUCUUAUUGUUCUUCUUCCAGUUCUUUCUGAUUAAUGCUACUAAUCAUAAAACCACCGUGAUCCUGAUUGUUGAUGUACAUAUUCAGUUCCGAAAUCCAUUUCUCAUGUAGUCUCCUUACCAGUUUGAUAGUUACCGUGAAUCGUUUUGGCUUAUUGCAGAAAUAAAAUGGCUGACGAGUGUGAAUUUCAAUGGAGAACCAGCGAGCGAUUUACUUUUAGCAACAUGGUAUGCGUCUGAAAUCAUCUAGAGUUUUCUUCUAUCGAUUCUUAAUCGUGCCUGCCAACAUUGAUUUAGAUGGGAUACUGAUGCGAAAGAUCUGUUUAAAACAUAGAAUUUGAGUAAUCGGCUUCCAGAACGUUUGUGAUACUUUGAUUAUUUCAAGCUAUUCUAGAAAUUAAAGACCUUUGGUGUCUAUUUUAGUGGAUUGUUAAGCUCUUAGGCUACCGCAAACCAGAAAAAAAAAUCACAUUAAUUCAUACCUUGAAAAACAAAAAAAAAAGAGCAAAAGCCAAAGAAGACAUUUAAUAAUACUAGGUAUUUGGCAUGCCCCUUGCACGGACAAAAAGAUUUCAUUAAUUAAACACAUUAUAGGUAGAUUAUAAAAUUAAUUAUUAAUAAUAAAUAAAAAAUAUAAAAAAAAUGUGAAACAUAUGUUCAACAAACAAAAAAACAUAAAAAAUAAUAAUAUCUAUCAAUAUAAACUAACGAAAACCAAUUAUUGUAUCAAAACUACAAAGAUGAUUAAAAUAAGACAAAUGACCGAUUUAAAAAAUAUCCUAAAACAUUUUUUAUAUACAACAUUGAUAAUCUUCUACUGUGACUUUCCUUUUAGAUUUAUAAUUAAAAAUCUUGAGUUCUUUUUUCAAUAUAACCCUUAAUUCUUCGUUCUCCCUAGCCAGAAAUCUUUUUCAGUUCUAUGGGUAUUGUUUUUAUUGGUUCUUAUCUGAUAACACCGUAUUUUGAACAAUUUUAUGGAUGAUUCUAAGAUUUUAUUCAGGUUUUUUAACUUAGUAUUCAAUGGUUUUCAAGUGAUUUCUAUGUUUUAGAGUUUCAAAAGAGUUUUCAGGAUAUUUGGACAAAAAGAAUGCAAUUGGAACAAAAAUACAACUUUGGAUAAAUUAGGCAGUCAGAAAUUUGGUAACAAAUGGAGACUUUCCCACCGUCUGAUCAUCCCCAAAUUUGGACAAAAGAUAUAGCAGAAAACUAGCUUUCCAAUGCAAUUAGAAUCGAAGCAAUCCAACCGUUGGAUCUCCAGAUAUGGUCAAUGCACAGAAGACAAAUCAACACAGUCGGAAGCUGACCCGUGCCCAAAGCAUAAUACACCGUGGCUGCGACAUUAUAGACCGCUGGGAGCCUAUUUCCGAGCCUUAGAAACCCAUUUUAAAGCCUAGGUCAUUCCUGUCAUUAUUCCUGAAAACCCUAGACAUUCCUGAAGACUCAAGAAACUAUAUAUACCUCUUUUAAAUCAUUUAGAAGGUGUGCCAUUUUUUGUCAAGAGUCCUAGAGAGAGCUGUUACCCGUGAAGAGGAUCCACCAAGAGGGGCACCAUUGGCCCUCCUUCAGCCUGUUCUUCGUUUCUGACCUUUGUUUUAUUUUAGUUCUCUACGUUUUAAAGACACCACCAAAAUCCCUACAAAAAUCGCAUGGUUCUAAACUUCCUUACUUCACAUUUCUUUCGAAGGCUUUUACAGGAAAAGAUUCUCCUUCUCUUUGGAUUCGAUCCCUAAGUAUUACAAUCGAUCAGCUGUGCACUUGCGGCUAUUAAUUCCAUUUAGGGUAAAACUAAAAAACUGAAUGUCAGGUCGCUUGAGAGUCAAGUACUGCAGUUUACCUGUAAUGCUUUGGAAGUAUGUUGACUCAGAGAUUAACUCUGUGUUGCAGAACGCUUCAUCGAGUCAUAUUGGAAGUGGUGUCGGCAUUGGUUUUGCGCUGGCCAUGCCUGCUUCUUCCAAAAUUUUGUCUGCAUAUGUUAACUUGUUGAG